rnacentral:misc_RNA from 1 species
UUUCCGUAGGUGAACCUGCGGAAGGAUCAUUGUCGAAGCCUGCCCAGCAGAACGACCCGCGAACUUGUAUAAACAACCGGGGGCAGGGGCGAUCUCGCCCCGUGCCCUCGAACGGCAGGGAGACACUCGUGCCUUCUUGUCGAACAACGAGCCCCGGCGCGGUCUGCGCCAAGGAACUUCAAUUAAAGAGUGCCUCCGGUCGCCUCGGAAACGAUGCGCGUGUCGGAGGCGAAUCUUGUACAAAACCAUAACGACUCUCGGCAACGGAUAUCUCGGCUCUC